rnacentral:rRNA from 1 species
AUUGAACGCUGGCGGAAUGCUUUACACAUGCAAGUCGAACGGCAGCACGGACUUCGGUCUGGUGGCGAGUGGCGAACGGGUGAGUAGUGUAUCGGAACGUGCCCAGUCGUGGGGGAUAACGUAGUGAAAAUUACGCUAAUACCGCAUACGAUCUAUGGAUGAAAGCGAGGGAUCGCAAGACCUCGCGCGAUUGGAGCGGCCGAUAUCAGAUUAGGUAGUUGGGGGGGUAAAGGCCCACCAAGCCAACGAUCUGUAGCUGGUCUGAGAGGACGACCAGCCACACUGGAACUGAGACACGGUCCAGACUCCUACGGGAGGCAGCAGUGGGGAAUUUUGGACAAUGGGCGAAAGCCUGAUCCAGCCAUUCCGCGUGCAGGAUGAAGGCCCUCGGGUUGUAAACUGCUUUUGUACAGAACGAAAAGGUUUCUACUAAUACUAGGAGCUCAUGACGGUACUGUAAGAAUAAGCACCGGCUAACUACGUGCCAGCCGCCGCCGUAA